GGGAAUUCUUAGUGAAAAUGGGAAAGGUGAGAGGGAAUUCGGGGGGAAAGGGGAAUUCUGAGGGAAAAUGGGAAAGGUGAGAGGGAAUUCAGAGGGAAAAUGGGAAAGGUGAGGGGGAAUUCUGAGGGAAAAUGGGAAUUCUGAGGGAAAAUGGGAAAGGUGAGAGGGAAUUCGGGGGGAAAGGGGAAUUCUGAGGGAAAAUGGGAAAGGUGAGAGGGAAUUCUGAGGGAAAAUGGGAAAGGUGAGGGGGAAUUCUGAGGGAAAAUGGGAAUUCUGAGGGAAAAUGGGAAAGGUGAGAGGGAAUUCUGAGGGAAAAUGGGAAUUUGGAGGGAAAAUGGGAAAGGUGAGAGGGAAUUCAGAGGGAAAAUGGGAAUUCGGAGAGAAAAUGGGAAUUUGGAGGGAAAAUGGGAAAGGUGAGAGGGAAUUUGGAGAGAGAAUGGGAAUUCGGAGGGAAAAUGGGAAUUCUGACAAAAAUGGGAAAGGUGAGAGGGAAUUUGGAGGAGAAAUGGAAAUUCAGAGGGGAAAUGGGAAUUCUGAGGGGAAUUUGGAAGGAAAAUAGGAAUUCUGAUGGAAAAUGAGAGGCCUGAGUUGGAAUUCUGAGGAGAAAAGGGAAUUCAGAAGGAAAAUGGGAAAUCUGAGCAGGAAAUAUGAGGGAAAAAGGGAAUUCUGAGGGGAAAAUAUGAAAUGUGAGUGGGAAUUCUGAGGGAAAAUGGGAAUUCAGAGGCAAAAUGGGAACUAUGACCUGGAAUUCUGAGGGGAAAUCAGAAUUCUGAGGUGAAAUGGGAGGCCUGAGGUGGAAUUCUGAGGGAAAAUGGGAAUUCUGACAGGAAAAGAAAAACCUGAGGUGGAAUUCUGAGGUAAAACAGGAAUUCUGAGGUAAAUUGGGAAAUCUGAGCAGGAAUUCUGAGAGAAACUGGGAAUUCUGCGGGAAAAUGAGAGGCCCGAGG